AAGUCGUGAGGCGGAGCUAAUCCCUUAAAGCCAUUCUCAGUUCGGAUUGUAGGCUGAAACUCGCCUACAUGAAGCUGGAGUUACUAGUAAUCGCAGAUCAGAAUGCUGCGGUGAAUGCGUUCCCGGGUCUUGUACACACCGCCCGUCACACCACGGAAGUUGGGGGGCGCCCGAAGCCACUUAGCUAACCCUUUUGGGAAGCGAGUGUCGAAGGUGAAAUCAAUAACUGGGGUGAAGUCGUAACAAGGUAUC
rnacentral:rRNA from 1 species